rnacentral:rRNA from 1 species
UACGUAGGGGGCGAGCGUUGUCCGGAGUUACUGGGCGUAAAGGGCAUGCAGGCGGUCGGAGGCGUUUCGGGUGACAGCGGGUGGCUUAACUACCCGAGUGUUCGAAAGACGCUCCGACUUGAGGACUCGAGAGGGACACGGAAUUCCGGGUGGAGUGGUGAAAUGCGUAGAGAUCCGGAGGAACACCGAAGGCGAAGGCAGUGUCCUGGCGAGUGACUGACGCUGAGGUGCGAAAGCUAGGGGAGCGAACGGG